UACGUAGGGUGCGAGCGUUGUCCGGAUUUAUUGGGCGUAAAGAGCUCGUAGGCGGUCUGUCGCGUCGGAUGUGAAAACCCAGGGCUCAACCCUGGGCCUGCAUUCGAUACGGGCAGACUAGAGUAUGGCAGGGGAGACUGGAAUUCCUGGUGUAGCGGUGAAAUGCGCAGAUAUCAGGAGGAACACCGGUGGCGAAGGCGGGUCUCUGGGCCAAAACUGACGCUGAGGAGCGAAAGCGUGGGGAGCGAACAGG
rnacentral:rRNA from 1 species